rnacentral:lncRNA from 1 species
ACAAAUUCCAUCAAAUUCAAGUGAAAUGCACUCACACUUUUCACAUUUUUGCAUAAUCCAAAGUUCAACCCCUAGCCUAAUUCUAACUUUUAUAUAACAGUAGUUUUUCACAUCAGAAAAUCAUCCACAACUCACCCUUUCAAUUGCUAAAGCUCUAUCAAAUUGAAUUCUCAAAAUUUAAGUUUCUUCACUUUGAGUUCUUGAGAAAUUGUGUUUUCACUUUCAAUGCAUUGAAUUUACAUAAUCAUUACCUACACAAAUCACCAACCAAAGUAGUCCAAAUCAAGAUCAAAUGUUUAAUUCGAUUUUGAACUCAAUUUUUAAAUUUUAUCGGAUCUUUAAUUUGAGCUUGGAUUUGAGUAGAGGUUGAGAGGAUUCCAAAUCUAAAAAAAUGCAUGAACCGAAAGUUUGCUUGGACCUUCGUCAGAGCUUGAUCGGAGAGCCACAUGUUAACCAUUAUUGUCGACGAGUUCUUGAGGUUUUUUUUGUCAAAGUAAGUAUAAUCCUCGUUUUUCUUGUGUUUUAUGUGUGUUAGGAUGUAUAUACAUGCUUAAGGAACUUAUUUCAAUCAUUAGUUGCAUGAAAAUACAUUUAAUUUGAAUUUCUAAAAAAUUGCUCAGGAAUACUCAUGAACUAAAGAACACAAAAAUGAGAAAACUAUGAAUCUCAAUCAUAAACUACAAACUCAUACCGUUUAAACUGGUUUUUCGCGCUGAUCACAAAUAUGUAAUUAGUUUUGUGUUUGGAUGUGUAUUUUGACUAGAUCGAACGCUUUUUCAUUAUAUUUUUCAUCCACGUUUUGCCUUGAUUCUCAUAAACCGUAACUUGUUUGCUAAAUUUGAUUGCAUAUUUGGAUUCAUGGAAAAAAUCCAAGUCCAACAGUAUAUAAUUUGUAAUUUAAUUAUUUGAAUUGGUGAUUCUAUAAUUUUUUUCUUGAGAUUGUUGAAAAAAUGACGAAUAUUAUUGGAAAGGAUGAACAAUUGUCGGAUUUAAUCUCAAUGACUAGAUCAAUCAGAUGCCUUUUUUAUUUUGAACCCUGCGCUGUCACUUGUCAAUUAUUGGCUGGCUAGUGUUAGUUGUAAACAUGCUACCGAACUCAAUCCUAGAUGUUGAUCAUAUCCAGUGAUGGAGAUGUCAGAGUUAAUCGUUUGGGUUUGGUUGACAGCGCAUGUAGGCCUCCUCAAUUGGCCAGAUUGUUGCGCCCACCCCCCAUUUUUUUUUGCUUUUAUCAUCUAUUUAUAUUUUAUUUUUGUGUAAUGGAAUUGGAUUGAGCUUUGGGACCAUUUUUGGUUAUCUUUUUUUAAUUUUUUUUUCUACUUCCCUGCUCCAAUGCCACCACCUUUUCUUUUAUUAUUAUUAUUUUUAUUUUUUUUGUAAAUUAUUUUUAAUUAAUAAAAUAAUUAAAGAAUAAAUAAAUAAUGAUAAGUAAAUGUUUUCUAAAAAA